rnacentral:rRNA from 1 species
ACCGGCGAACGGGUGCGUAACGCGUAUGCAAUCUACCUUGUACAGGGGAAUAGCUUUCGGAAACGAGAAUUAAUGCCCCAUAGUAGGAAGAUAACGCCUGUUAUCUUUCUUAAAGCUUCGGUGGUACAAGCGGAGCAUGCGUCCCAUUAGCUAGUAGGUGAGGUAACGGCUCACCUAGGCGAUGAUGGGUAGGGGUUCUGAGAGGAAGAUCCCCCACACUGGCACUGAGACACGGGCCAGACUCCUACGGGAGGCAGCAGUAGGGAAUAUUGGUCAAUGGGCGCAAGCCUGAACCAGCCAUGCCGCGUGCAGGAAGAAGGCCCGUAAGGUUGUAAACUGCUUUUAUAGGAGAACAAACCCCUCCGGCGGGAGGGUCUGAGGGUAUCCUAAGAAUAAGCACCGGCUAACUCCGUGCCAGCAGCCGCGGUAAUACGGAGGGUGCAAGCGU